GACGAACGCUGGCGGCGCGCCUAACACAUGCAAGUCGAACGGAGCUGAGAGAAGCUUGCUUUUCUUAGCUUAGUGGCGAACGGGUGAGUAACGCGUGAGUAACCUGCCCUGGAGUGGGGGACAACAGUUGGAAACGACUGCUAAUACCGCAUAAGCCCACGAUCCGGCAUCGGCUUGAGGGAAAAGGAUUUAUUCGCUUCAGGAUGGACUCGCGCCCAAUUAGCUAGUUGGUGAGGUAACGGCCCACCAAGGGGACGAUUGGUAGCCGGACUGAGAGGUUGGGCGGCGACAAUGGGAGUGAGACACGGCCCAGACUACUACGGGAGGCAGCAGUGGGGGAUAUUGCAAAAUGGGGGGAAUCCUGAUGCAGCGACGACGCGUAGAGGAAGAAGGUUUUCGGAUUGUAAACUCCUGUCGUUAGGGACGAUAAUGACGGUACCUAACAAGAAAGCACCGGCUAACUACGUG
rnacentral:rRNA from 1 species